rnacentral:rRNA from 1 species
AGCGUACACGGUGGAUGCCCUGGCAGUCAGAGGCGAUGAAGGACGUGCUAAUCUGCGAUAAGCGCCGGUAAGGUGAUAUGAACCGUUAUAACCGGCGAUUUCCGAAUGGGGAAACCCAGUGUGACUCGUCACACUAUCAUUAACUGAAUCCAUAGGUUAAUGAGGCGAACCGGGGGAACUGAAACAUCUAAGUACCCCGAGGAAAAGAAAUCAACCGAGAUUCCCCCAGUAGCGGCGAGCGAACGGGGAGGAGCCCAGAGCCUGAAUCAGCAUGUGUGUUAGUGGAAGCGUCUGGAAAGGCGCGCGAUACAGGGUGACAGCCCCGUACACAAAAGCGCAUGUGCUGUGAGCUCGAUGAGUAGGGCGGGACACGUGGUAUCCUGUCUGAAUAUGGGGGGACCAUCCUCCAAGGCUAAAUACUCCUGACUGACCGAUAGUGAACCAGUACCGUGAGGGAAAGGCGAAAAGAACCCCGGCGAGGGGAGUGAAAAAGAACCUGAAACCGUGUACGUACAAGCAGUGGGAGCACAGGUUUACCUGUGUGACUGCGUACCUUUUGUAUAAUGGGUCAGCGACUUAUAUUCUGUAGCAAGGUUAACCGAAUAGGGGAGCCGGAGGGAAACCGAGUCUUAAUUGGGCGUUAAGUUGCAGGGUAUAGACCCGAAACCCGGUGAUCUAGCCAUGGGCAGGUUGAAGGUUGGGUAACACUAACUGGAGGACCGAACCGACUAAUGUUGAAAAAUUAGCGGAUGACCUGUGGCUGGGGGUGAAAGGCCAAUCAAACCGGGAGAUAGCUGGUUCUCCCCGAAAGCUAUUUAGGUAGCGCCUCGUGAAUUCAUCUCCGGGGGUAGAGCACUGUUUCGGCUAGGGGGCCAUCCCGGCUUACCAACCCGAUGCAAACUGCGAAUACCGGAGAAUGUUAUCACGGGAGACACACGGCGGGUGCUAACGUCCGUCGUGAAGAGGGAAACAACCCAGACCGCCAGCUAAGGUCCCAAAGUCAUGGUUAAGUGGGAAACGAUGUGGGAAGGCCCAGACAGCCAGGAUGUUGGCUUAGAAGCAGCCAUCAUUUAAAGAAAGCGUAAUAGCUCACUGGUCGAGUCGGCCUGCGCGGAAGAUGUAACGGGGCUAAACCAUGCACCGAAGCUGCGGCAGCGNNUGCUGGAGGUAUCAGAAGUGCGAAUGCUGACAUAAGUAACGAUAAAGCGGGUGAAAAGCCCGCUCGCCGGAAGACCAAGGGUUCCUGUCCAACGUUAAUCGGGGCAGGGUGAGUCGACCCCUAAGGCGAGGCCGAAAGGCGUAGUCGAUGGGAAACGGGUUAAUAUUCCCGUACUUGGUGUUACUGCGAAGGGGGGACGGAGAAGGCUAUGUUGGCCGGGCGACGGUUGUCCCGGUUUAAGCGUGUAGGUGUGUGUUCCAGGUAAAUCCGGUUCACUUUAACACUGAGGCGUGACGACGAGGCACUACGGUGCUGAAGCAACAAAUGCCCUGCUUCCAGGAAAAGCCUCUAAGCAUCAGGUAACAUCAAAUCGUACCCCAAACCGACACAGGUGGUCAGGUAGAGAAUACCAAGGCGCUUGAGAGAACUCGGGUGAAGGAACUAGGCAAAAUGGUGCCGUAACUUCGGGAGAAGGCACGCUGACAUGUAGGUGAAGUGAUUUACUCAUGGAGCUGAAGUCAGUCGAAGAUACCAGCUGGCUGCAACUGUUUAUUAAAAACACAGCACUGUGCAAACACGAAAGUGGACGUAUACGGUGUGACGCCUGCCCGGUGCCGGAAGGUUAAUUGAUGGGGUCAGCGCAAGCGAAGCUCCUGAUCGAAGCCCCGGUAAACGGCGGCCGUAACUAUAACGGUCCUAAGGUAGCGAAAUUCCUUGUCGGGUAAGUUCCGACCUGCACGAAUGGCGUAAUGAUGGCCAGGCUGUCUCCACCCGAGACUCAGUGAAAUUGAACUCGCUGUGAAGAUGCAGUGUACCCGCGGCAAGACGGAAAGACCCCGUGAACCUUUACUAUAGCUUGACACUGAACAUUGAGCCUUGAUGUGUAGGAUAGGUGGGAGGCUUUGAAGCGUGGACGCCAGUCUGCGUGGAGCCGACCUUGAAAUACCACCCUUUAAUGUUUGAUGUUCUAACGUGGACCCGUAAUCCGGGUUGCGGACAGUGUCUGGUGGGUAGUUUGACUGGGGCGGUCUCCUCCUAAAGAGUAACGGAGGAGCACGAAGGUUGGCUAAUCCUGGUCGGACAUCAGGAGGUUAGUGCAAUGGCAUAAGCCAGCUUGACUGCGAGCGUGACGGCGCGAGCAGGUGCGAAAGCAGGUCAUAGUGAUCCGGUGGUUCUGAAUGGAAGGGCCAUCGCUCAACGGAUAAAAGGUACUCCGGGGAUAACAGGCUGAUACCGCCCAAGAGUUCAUAUCGACGGCGGUGUUUGGCACCUCGAUGUCGGCUCAUCACAUCCUGGGGCUGAAGUAGGUCCCAAGGGUAUGGCUGUUCGCCAUUUAAAGUGGUACGCGAGCUGGGUUUAGAACGUCGUGAGACAGUUCGGUCCCUAUCUGCCGUGGGCGCUGGAGAACUGAGGGGGGCUGCUCCUAGUACGAGAGGACCGGAGUGGACGCAUCACUGGUGUUCGGGUUGUCAUGCCAAUGGCACUGCCCGGUAGCUAAAUGCGGAAGAGAUAAGUGCUGAAAGCAUCUAAGCACGAAACUUGCCCCGAGAUGAGUUCU